GAUGAACGCUGGCGGCGUGCCUAAUACAUGCAAGUCGAGCGAAUGGAUUAAGAGCUUGCUCUUAUGAAGUUAGCGGCGGACGGGUGAGUAACACGUGGGUAACCUGCCCAUAAGACUGGGAUAACUCCGGGAAACCGGGGCUAAUACCGGAUAACAUUUUGAACCGCAUGGUUCGAAAUUGAAAGGCGGCUUCGGCUGUCACUUAUGGAUGGACCCGCGUCGCAUUAGCUAGUUGGUGAGGUAACGGCUCACCAAGGCAACGAUGCGUAGCCGACCUGAGAGGGUGAUCGGCCAGACUGGGACGGAGACACGGCCCAGACUCCUACGGGAGGCAGCAGUAGGGAAUCUUCCGCUAUGGACGAAAGUCUGACGGAGCAACGCCGCGUGAGUGAUGAAGGCUUUCGGGUCGUAAAACUCUGUUGUUAGGGAAGAACAAGUGCUAGUUGAAUAAGCUGGCACCUUGACGGUACCUAACCAGAAAGCCACGGCUAACUACGUGCCAGCCGCCGCCGUAA
rnacentral:rRNA from 1 species